AAACGACUCUCGACAACGGAUAUCUCGGCUCUCGCAUCGAUGAAGAACGUAGCGAAAUGCGAUACUUGGUGUGAAUUGCAGAAUCCCGUGAACCAUCGAGUCUUUGAACGCAAGUUGCGCCCCAAGCCGUUAGGCCGAGGGCACGUCUGCCUGGGUGUCACAC
rnacentral:rRNA from 2 species